CUUGAACCCAGAGUCAGAGGUUGCAGUGAGCCAAAAUUGUGCCACUGCACUCCAGCCUGGCAACAGAGUGAGACUCCAUCAAAAAAAAAAAAAUGAAACAAAGAAAAGGUAGAGCCUCAACACAAUAACUCUAAGAAAUAUCACUCAUCUAGGUAUUUGGAUUAUUAAACUGAAGUAUUCACAAGGCAUAACCCAAAGGUUACAGGUUUUGGCAAACUGAAUCAUGUUAACUGAAAUCGGCAGGCAGUCCACUAAAAUUUUAUAAGAUUUGUGAUUGUUAAUUUUUUGUGUCUACUUGGCCAGGCUACAAUGCCCAGUUUGUUUGGUCAAACACGGUCUAGAUUUUGGUAUGGAGGUAUUUUUUAAUGUGAUUUACACUGACAUUUAUUAUUUUUUUUAGAAAUGGGCAUCUCACUACGUUGCCCAAGGUGGUCUCAAACUCCUGGGUUCAAACGCUCCUCCCACCUCCAUCUCCCAAAGCAUUGGAAUAACGGGCAUGAGCCACCAUGCCUGGCCUCAACAUUGACAUUUACAUCAGUAGACUUUGAAUAAAGAAAAUUAAUCUCCAUAAUAUGAGUCGGCUUCAUCCAAUCAGUUGAAAGCCUUAAGAGUAAAGACUAAGAUUUCCAGAAGAAGCAGCAAUUCUGCCUCAAGAUUGCAGCAUAGAAUUCCUACUUCAGUUUCUCAUCUGUUGCCCUGCCCAGAAGAUUUUAGAUUCAAGACUGCAACAUCAGUUCUUACCUGAAUCUCCAGUCUGCCAGCCCACCAGUCAUAUGGCCUGCUCCUCACUGUAUAAGCCUCAUCUCUACCUAAUUUGGAGUCAGCCCUGUCCAGGAGGCUGAAUCCUAUAGACUAUCAACUGAUACGAUAAGCAAAAACAAUGGCCCCUCUAAAGACAUUCACAUCCUAAUCCCUGGAACUUGUGAACAUGUUACCUUAUGUGGCAGAAGAAGUCGGUGAUGCUAUGUGAAGACUCAAUCUUCCAUUGCUGGCUUUGAAAAUGGAGGAGCUGGCCACGAGCUAAGGAAUAUGGAGGGAAUUUUGAAACUGGAAAACGCAAGGAAAUGGAUUCUCCUCUAGAGCCCCCAGAAAGGAAUACAGCCCUGCCGACACUUUUAUUUGAGCCCAGUGAGACCUUUGUAGGACUUCUGACCUACAGAACUGUUAGAUAAAAAAUUUAUAUUAUUUAAGCCACCAAGCUUGUGGUCAUUUGUUACAGCAGUAAUAGGGAACUGCAGCUGGCUUCUGGUUGAAUUUGGCUAAUGGGAAUCAUCUGAAGAAGAUCAGAUGCUGAGAGGAAGAAGUGGUUGGAGUACUCCUUUACUAUUCUCCACUUGCUCUGCGCUGAGUGUCCUGGUGAGGGCGACAUCUCUCCCCAGCUAGAAUGUCUCCUCCACUGCUCUGGCUCUCAAUGGGAUGCUGAGGCACCAUUUCCUGUUUGCCCCUUCAAGCCUAGGGCUGGUAAGGACUUCCUGUUCUUAUCUGUCUUCUUACUCUACCCACAAUUUCAUAAGUAGUUCGUGAAGUAGCUCAAAUAGUGUUCCCCAAAAUUCACGUUCACCCAGAACCUCAGAAGGUGACCAUAUUUGGAAAUAGGGUCUGUGAAGGUAUAAUUAACUAAGGAUCUUGAGAUGAAAUCAUCGGAUAUUUAGGGUGACCCCUAAAUCCAAUGACUGGUGUCUUUGUGAGAAGAGGAAAAAACACAGAGAGACACACCAAGAAAGCCAUGUGAAGAUGGAGGCAGAUUAGGGUGAUGCCUCUUCAAGCCAGUGAAUGCCCAGGAUUGUGAGCAAACACCAGAUACUAAGAGAGACGCAUGGGCUUUCCCUCAGAGCCUCUAGAAGAAACCAAUUCUGUCAACACCUUAAGUUUGGACUUCUAGCCUCCUUAACUGUGAGAAAAUAAAUUUCUUUUGUUUUAAGCCACU
rnacentral:lncRNA from 10 species